GCAAAGAUAAAAACACGGCCCGGUCGGUAGUCCGGGCGCGGCGGCCGUAAAAGUGCGGCCGCUGUCAGUAGCCUUCCUCCUUGGUCGUCCGUUCUUUGUUCAUU
rnacentral:ncRNA from 1 species